CUACCAUGGUCCACUGGUUAGGGCGUCAGUUUAACAGUGAGAAGAUGCCGGUUCGAAUCCAGGUCUUUGCCAUAAUCUGCAGAGUUUGCACAUCAAGCUUUUUUUUGAAUGACCAGGUAUGUAAAGGCCUUUUUGGGUUGUUACUUAUGAGCUCGGGAAAGCACAGCUACCGUGGUCCACUGGUUAGGGCGUCAGUUCAACAGUGAGAAGAUGCCGGUUCGAAUCCAGGUCCCUGCUAUCAUUUGCAGAGUUUGCACAUCUAGCUUUUUUUUUUGAACGACCAGGUAUGUAAAGGCCUUUUUGGGUUGUUACUUAUGAGCUCGGGAAAGCACAGCUACCGUGGUCCACUGGUUAGGGCGUCAGUUCAACAGUGAGAAGAUGCCGGUUCGAAUCCAGGUCUUUGCCAUCAUCUGCAGAGUUUGCACAUACAGUAAGUCUCUCUCUCAUGACAAUGUUUGCCGUUUUUCGAUGAACA